GUGUGUGUGUGUGUGUGUGUAGCAAAGAUAAAAAGAACCCAACCCUAGUCUCUCAUUUUGAUGUCACCAGCUGCAGGAAAACAUGGUCAGACCAUAGUAGCACUUGUGCUGGCAAUUUUCUUUCAUCCUUCCUCUUCUUCUUCCCUCUCUAUCCUCUUCUCUUCUUCUCAUUUGGCACAGCAAAACAGCACCUGCACCGGCCCCCUUUUUUGUUUUUCUUUGUAAUUUUU
rnacentral:misc_RNA from 1 species